UACGUAGGGUCCGAGCGUUGUCCGGAGUUACUGGGCGUAAAGCGCGCGCAGGCGGCGGUGUUGGCCCGGCGUGAAAGCCCCCCGGCUCAACCGGGGAGAGUCGUCGGGGACCGCACCGCUUGAGGGCGGUAGGGGGCUGGUGGAAUGCCUGGUGUAGUGGUGAAAUGCGUAGAGAUCAGGCAGAACACCUGGGGCGAAGGCGGCCAGCUGGGCCGUCCCUGACGCUGAGGCGCGAAGGCGUGGGGAGCGAACGGG
rnacentral:rRNA from 1 species